CAGAUGAGGAAACUGAGGCUUGGUGAAGUUACGAAACUUGUCCAAAAUCACACAACUUGUAAAGGGCACAGCCAAGAUUCAGAGCCAGGCUGUAAAAAUUAAAAUGAACAAACUACGGCAAAGUUUUAGGAGAAAGAAGGAUGUUUAUGUUCCAGAGGCCAGUCGUCCACAUCAGUGGCAGACAGAUGAAGAAGGCGUUCGCACUGGAAAAUGUAGCUUCCCG
rnacentral:lncRNA from 1 species